GAUGAACGCUGGCGGCGUGCCUAAUACAUGCAAGUCGAGCGAACGGACGAGAAGCUUGCUUCUCUGAUGUUAGCGGCGGACGGGUGAGUAACACGUGGAUAACCUCCCUAUAAGACUGGGAUAACUUCGGGAAACCGGAGCUAAUACCGUAUAAUAUUUUGAACCGCAUGGUUCAAAAGUGAAAGACGGUCUUGCUGUCACUUAUAGAUGGAUCCGCGCUUCAUUAGCUAGUUGGUAAGGUAACGGCUUACCAAGGCAACGAUGCAUAGCCGACCUGAGAGGGUGAUCGGCCACACUGGAACUGAGACACGGUCCAGACUCCUACGGGAGGCAGCAGUAGGGAAUCUUCCGCAAUGGGCGAAAGCCUGACGGAGCAACGCCGCGUGAGUGAUGAAGGUCUUCGGAUCGUAAAACUCUGUUAUUAGGGAAGAACAUAUGUGUAAGUAACUGUGCACAUCUUGACGGUACCUAAUCAGAAAGCAACGGCUAACUACGUG
rnacentral:rRNA from 1 species